UUAAAUUGAAGAGUUUGAUCAUGGCUCAGAUUGAACGCUGGCGGCAGGCCUAACACAUGCAAGUCGAACGGUAACAGGAAGCAGCUUGCUGCUUCGCUGACGAGUGGCGGACGGGUGAGUAAUGUCUGGGAAACUGCCUGAUGGAGGGGGAUAACUACUGGAAACGGUAGCUAAUACCGCAUAACGUCGCAAGACCAAAGAGGGGG
rnacentral:rRNA from 3 species